GUGUAAACUAUUUUUUUGAAACUGAAGAACAUCAUGGAAAACAUUAGAAAUAAACCACCAAAAGACAACCUUUGCUUUAUUCAAUAUAAUCACACCCCCCUGUUCUAAUCGCCAUCAGAAACCCCUUGAGGAACGAUGACGGUCCUGAACCAUCAUAACGUAAAACGAGCAGCAGGAGCUGCCGCUGAAACACAGCUGUUACUAUCUCCCUCGCAUGCCUGGCAGAUAGUAACAGCGAAUUACAGGUGAUACUCAAAAAAUUAGAAUAGCGUGCAAAAGUUAAUUUAUUUCAGUAAUGCAACGUAAAAGGGGAAACUAAUAUAUGAGACAGAAGCAUUACAGGCAAAGCAAGAUCGUUCAAGCCGUGAUUUGUCAUAAGUGCUACAGCCCCUGAAAACCCCAAAUCCACAAUCUCAG